rnacentral:lncRNA from 1 species
GUUGACUUGCUGGGUUACACGCUGACAUGUCCAAGAAAAGAAAAAAACGGUUGGAGUCUCUUGAAUCGGCCCCAAAUGCAUCACACCUGAACGCAAUUUCACUCUCACCUCAAACCCUACCACUAUUUUUCCCUCACAGCUACCUCACCCCAAAUGCAAAAAACCUCUCAUGAAUCAUCUCAUUCGAGGAGAUCUAAGGCUGCAAGAUUGAAGCCCACUGUACGCAGCAGAAUCAGCCGUCGUUGAGGCCUUCUUCUCCGGCAAAAUCUCCAACUGUAGGGGUUCCAGCCUCGACUCGAUUUCGACAAAUUUCAGUUUCGCCUCUCCACUUGCCGAUCAUUUGCAGGAUCCUGAAGGUGCGUUUCUUAUACUUUAUGUGAUAGAAGCAAUUUUAUAAAUAUUAAUCUUUUUUGCAUAUCGUAGCUUGAUGUGUUGAUUUGGCUCGUUGAAUCUGAAGGGUGAGAGGGAAAGAGCUCUUAAAAAGUAGCCAGAGAAAAACUACAAUAAAAUAAAGUAAGUUGUUCAUGACCUUGUACCAAGAUUGUUCCUUUCGCAGUUUCCAUGCCUCAAGUAAGGGGUAGAGGGGUGGUGUGGGAAGGGGGAAGUGGGAGAAAGUGAUGAUUUGAGUUUUUUUGUGAUCUUCGAUUUUGGGGUUUUCGAUUUUGUUCGGUAAUUUUUAACAAAAAAUUGAAUGACGAAGAUCACUUUUUCCAAAAUAGACUAUAGAUCUCGUGAUAUUGGUGUUGAAUUUGAGUGAUCUACGUGAUGUUUUGGGAUUGUCUUGAAUCUAUGAUUUGGGAAUUUUGGUUUUGAGUGGAAAUUUUUCACAGAAGAUUGGGGGUUUUCUCAAAAAAACUCAAAUCAUCACACAUGUUUUCUCAGUUUCCUUGUAACAAAAUAAACCACUAGUAUUUUAGAUCAUGUUUUCUGAAUUAUGUCAUCAAUGCCUGUAGGAAGAUUUACUCAUCAAGUUAUAAAUUUUAGUAACAUUUACUCAUUUUCAGGUUGUUUGAUACUACAGUCCAAUCUCUUAGAUAUUGCAUAUGGUCGGAAGAAGUUAUAAAUUCUAGUGAACUUAAUACACGAGCUUCACACGAGGGAAUUUUUCAGUGAUUUUGAUGUGUCAUUCACGAGCUAAAGAAAACUUUACUUUGAAAUUGACAGAUGAUACUAGUUGAUAGAAAAAAAAUGAUGUCAAUUUCUAAUAUAUGUGGAUAUUUCAUAAGCUUUCUCAAUGAGGUCAGAUACAUGCAAAUUUCGAAGUUAGAUGGAUUAAAUGCCGAAUAAACAUACAUCCACUGACCUGAAUUAAUACACAUCUGUUCACAAUAUUUGUUGGAUUAAUAAUAUAAGAUUUGAUAUUUGACGUCCAAUGUAACCUUUUGAGGAUAAAAGUGCAGCAAACGGGAAGUUUAUAUUACUGUCAGAAUUGUUUAAAGAAUGUCGUUGAGAAAUAAAUGUUCUUGCCGAAUCAUUGUUAUUAUUCUGCAGCUGUUUAGUUGGUUGUUAUUAUCAGAAACACUUGAGAGGGAUUUUAUGACUUAUCUCUACACUCAUGGCCAAUUUUAAGAUCAGUUCAUACAUUUCUGUGUAUCAUGCCGGGAAAGAACUCCAAACUUUAUCAUAGAUGUAGAGGGAAGGGUCACUUGUUUGCUGAUUGCACAAACAAAAGGCGAUGCCCCUUGUGUAUAUGUGGAAUUGUGAAGUGCUUUGAGGUCGAGAGGGAGACAAAGAACAAGGAAAGAUUGCUCUAGUGCUGCCGUGUUAAUUGUAAAUAUUGGGCAUGGGUCGAUGAGGGAGAAUCAAGCAGUGGGUCAAGUAAUGUUACCGCGAAUUCGAAUAACCAUGCAUCACUUGAAGAUGUUCAGCAGUUCUCUCGCAUGUUCUAGUCUCUUUGUUAUGUGGUCUUUAAGGAAUGAAACAUUGAGAUUUCUUUAAAUGUGACAAUAAGGAAUGGCAACGAAAGUGCGAAAGUGGAUGUGAAAGGGAAGGGGCCAGCAUGAUUUGUGGUUAGCUGAAUAAGUGAUUAGAGUAGUUGAUGUAUUUUGUUAAUAUUGGUGUUUGCACUAAGGUGUUGGCUAGAAAAUUAUUCCUCGCAAACGGUCAUGUUGUUGUCUUAAUGUGAUUAUUUUGGCUUGAAGUUAUUUUUAUGCAAAGCUACUAUGUGUG